AGCGAACGCUGGCGGCAGGCCUAACACAUGCAAGUCGAACGAACCUUUCGGGGUUAGUGGCGGACGGGUGAGUAACACGUGGGAACGUGCCUUUAGGUUCGGAAUAACUCAGGGAAACUUGUGCUAAUACCGAAUGUGCCCUUCGGGGGAAAGAUUUAUCGCCUUUAGAGCGGCCCGCGUCUGAUUAGCUAGUUGGUUGAGGUAAUGGCUCACCAAGGCGACGAUCAGUAGCUGGUCUGAGAGGAUGAUCAGCCACAUUGGGACUGAGACACGGCCCAAACUCCUACGGGAGGCAGCAGUAGGGAAUCUUCCGCAAUGGGCGAAAGCCUGACGGAGCAACGCCGCGUGAGUGAUGAAGGUCUUCGGAUCGUAAAACUCUGUUAUUAGGGAAGAACAAAUGUGUAAGUAACUAUGCACGUCUUGACGGUACCUAAUCAGAAAGCCACGGCUAACUACGUG
rnacentral:rRNA from 1 species